AUUGAACGCUGGCGGCAGGCCUAACACAUGCAAGUCGAGCGGAUGAAGGGAGCUUGCUCCUGGAUUCAGCGGCGGACGGGUGAGUAAUGCCUAGGAAUCUGCCUGCUAGUGGGGGAUAACGUCCGGAAACGGGCGCUAAUACCGCAUACGUCCUGCGGGAGAAAGUGGGGGAUCUUCGGACCUCUCGCUCUCAGAUGAGCCUAGGUCGGAUUAGCUAGUUGGUGGGGUAAAGGCCUACCUAGGCGACGUUCCGUCACUGGUCUGAGAGGAUGAUCAGUCAGACUGGGAGUGAGACCCGGUCCAGACGCCUACGGGAAGGACCAGUGGGGAUUAGGGGGCAAUGAGCGAGAGACUUUGCCAGCCAUGCCGCGUGUUUGAGGAAGAUCUUCGGAUUGUGGAGCACGUUAUGUGGGGAGGAAAGGGAGUAAGUUAAUAACGAGCUGUUUUGACGGUUACAGCGGAAUGAGGACCGGGUUACUUCGUU
rnacentral:rRNA from 1 species